rnacentral:rRNA from 1 species
GGGCCCGCACAAGCGGCGGAGCAUGCGGCUUAAUUCGAUGCAACGCGAAGAACCUUACCUAGGCUUGACAGUUGGGGGAAAUCUGGCAGAGAUGCCAGGUCCGUAAGGGCCCCAAAACAGGUGGUGCAUGGCUGUCGUCAGCUCGUGUCGUGAGAUGUUGGGUUAAGUCCCGCAACGAGCGCAACCCUCGUCGUAUGUUGCCAGCGGAUAAUGCCGGGGGACUCAUACGAGACUGCCGGGGUCAACUCGGAGGAAGGUGGGACGACGUCAAGUCAUCAUGCCCCUUAUGUCUAGGGCUGCACGCAUGCUACAAUGGCCGGUACAGAGGGCUGCGAAACGCAAGGUAGAGCG